rnacentral:rRNA from 1 species
GACAGAGGGUGCAAACGUUGUUCGGAAUUACUGGGCGUAAAGCGCGUGUAGGCGGCAGGGCAAGUCGGAUGUGAAAUCCCAUGGCUCAACCAUGGAAGUGCACCCGAAACUGCCCAGCUAGAGUCUCGGAGAGGAAGGUGGAAUGCUUGGUGUAGAGGUGAAAUUCGUAGAUAUCAAGCGGAACACCGGUGGCGAAGGCGGCCUUCUGGACGAUGACUGACGCUGAGACGCGAAAGCGUGGGGAGCAAACAGG